UACGAAGGGGGCUAGCGUUGUUCGGAAUUACUGGGCGUAAAGCGCGUGUAGGCGGCCUAGUGUGUCGGGCGUGAAAUCCCACGGCUCAACCGUGGAAGUGCACUCGAAACUGCAAGGCUGGAGUACUGGAGAGGAUGGUAGAAUGCUCGGUGUAGAGGUGAAAUUCGUAGAUAUCGAGCGGAAUACCGGUGGCGAAGGCGGCCAUCUGGACAGUCACUGACGCUGAGACGCGAAAGCGUGGGGGAGCAAACAGG
rnacentral:rRNA from 1 species